GGUCCUACGGGACGCAGCAGUGAGGAAUAUUGGUCAAUGGGCGGAAGCCUGAACCAGCCAAGUCGCGUGAGGGAAUAAGGCCCUACGGGUCGUAAACCUCUUUUGCCGGGGAGCAAGGGCCGGGACGCGUCCCGGCCCGGAGAGUACCCGGAGAAAAAGCAUCGGCUAACUCCGUGCCAGCAGCCGCGGUAAUACGGAGGAUGCGAGCGUUAUCCGGAUUUAUUGGGUUUAAAGGGUGCGUAGGCGGAAGGUUAAGUCAGCGGUCAAAUGUCGGUGCUCAACACCGGCCUGCCGUUGAAACUGGG
rnacentral:rRNA from 1 species